GAUGAACGCUAGCGGCAGGCCUAAUACAUGCAAGUCGAACGAGAUUAAGAGGCUUGCUUCUUAUGAAAGUGGCGCACGGGUGCGUAACGCGUAUGCAACCUACCUUAAUCAGGGGGAUAGCCCGAAGAAAUUCGGAUUAAGACCGCAUAAAAACACAGGAUAGCAUUAUCCAAUGUUCAAAUAUUUAUAGGAUUAAGAUGGGCAUGCGUGUCAUUAGCUAGUUGGCGGGGUAACGGCCCACCAAGGCGACGAUGACUAGGGGAUCUGAGAGGAUGACCCCCCACACUGGUACUGAGACACGGACCAGACUCCUACGGGAGGCAGCAGUAAGGAAUAUUGGUCAAUGGAGGGAACUCUGAACCAGCCAUGCCGCGUGCAGGAAGACAGCCCUCUGGGUCGUAAACUGCUUUUAUUCGGGAAUAAUCCUUUCUACGUGUAGGAAGCUGAAUGUACCGAAGGAAUAAGGAUCGGCUAACUCCGUG
rnacentral:rRNA from 1 species